UUCGUAGGUGGUGCGGCAAGUUGGAAGUGAAAUCUCUGGGCUUAACUCAGAGGCUGCUUUCAAAACUGCCGUGCUCGAGUGCGAGAGAGGCCAGUGGAAUUGCAGGUGUAGCGGUGAAAUGCGUAGAUAUCUGCAGGAACACCCGUGGCGAAGGCGGCUGGCUGGAUCGCAACUGACACUGAGGAACGAAAGCUAGGGGAGCAAACAGGAUUAGAUACCCUGGUAGUCCUAGCCCUAAACCAUCGGAACUUGGGGUGGCCCGCGUAGGCGGGUCGUCCCGUAGCUAACGCGUUAAGUUCCGCGCCUGGGGAGUACGGUCGCAAGACUGAA
rnacentral:rRNA from 1 species